GAUUUGUGGGGGUUCUCAGUCUUUCUCACUCCUGCAGGAUGAGUGGUCACAGCAGGCACCUCACAUAUCUCCUCCUCACUGCCUUCCUGAGGCAGCCACUGGGCACCCUGGGGCAGAUCACCGUCACCCAGCAAGAAGGACCAGUCACACUGAAACAGGGAGACACCUUUCGAACAAACUGCACCUACCAGACAUCGAUGCCUCCAUAUCUGUCCUGGUACCAGCAGAGGAAAGGCCAGGCUCCCCAGCUGGUCUCCUAUCAGGCAGGAGCUGGCUCCAAGCGGAACGGCCGUUUCACCACAUCCCUGAACCCCACAGAGAAAUCCAGCCUCCUGCAGCUGGAGGAAGUCGAAGGCUCUGACAGCGCCGUGUACCUCUGUGCUGUGCAGGACACGCUGGUGCAGGAGCUGCCUGGGCUGGGCAAAAACCUGGGGCAGGGAGGGCUGGGGCUGGCAAGGCUGAGCCUGGGGGAAGGCUUUAUUCUGUGCUGCUUCUGCCCAAAGGCUUUGCAGAGGUGGCUUUUGGUUUCCACCAGGCAGCAACCAGCGAAAUGGGCAACAUUUCCCUGCUGCUCCAUGCUGGCCAUGGCCACAGGACUGUGGGAUUGUGAGGAGAGACACCUGGAGCAGAAGAUGGGGAAUAUUCCAAUGACUGCUUCUUUUCCACUCCUGAGAAUGUUGGCAACUCAGCGGUGAGGGAUGAUGCCCAAAGAAGUGACCCUGCAGGAGAUCCCAGCCUCCCCUUCCUCUGUGAAAAGAAUAGGGUCUCCUCGUGCCCUCUUCUUCUCCACCAGAGCAUCACCUUUCUCCUUGGAAAGCAUGGGCAGCACCCAAGAAGGAAGGAGCACGCGGGGAGCCAGGCUUGAAUGUAGCAGAACUUUAAUGAGUCAGAAGAGGGAAACCAAGUCAAUCCAAGUGGGAAGUUAGAAAUACAGGGAGGCCCAGCAAGCAACUUACAGUCUGAGAUCUUUGGCUGUAGAGAAGUUCCGUGUGAUUUUUGUCAAUCUGCCCCAAGGAGGGAGAGGAGACAGAGAGUCCCCACCAGGUUGGGCUUUGGGGGACCUUGCUGUCAAGCGGAACCAAAGCAAACAAGGAAAAGGGAAGAAAGCCAAAACCAUUCAAUUAUCCUGGAAUCCAUGAUGAAAAAAUCUGGUCCUCUGCUGAUGUUCUGAGUUCCUCAAGGUGUCUCCCUGGGGCUUCUCCAACAUCCUGUUCACAGGCGGUACCUCCUGCCACAGUAGCGUCCGGCAAUGCC